CUGAACUGAACUUGCUAAGCAGGGGGUUCAGCUGUCAGCGCCCAGUGGACUGAGAGAUAGAGGAUGAGGACAUAUGUUUCUGCCUGGUGAUGUGGGAUCUAUCUAAGAGUUAUAGGCACCAUCUGAACUCUGAGUCUCUGCUGACCAAGGACAGCAGCUAAUGCCAUGUUUGAGAACACAACCGAAUGGAAACUGGCUUUUACAAAUUGCUGCAAAUGGUGCUAUCUGGUUAUGCAUUUAUGUGUAAGAAGACAUGGGGGCAUCCUCAGUGCAAGCAGGAGCUGACGUAAAGCUGCUGUUAUGUUUUGCACUACUUGCUGAAAUCUGCGCUUUUAGAGUGCCGGCCUAAUGAUUAAAUUCAGCUGUACGUGGGAAAAGCUGUGGAUACUGGAGUCUCUUGACUGGAGAUGAAGGCAGGAAGAUUGCAGUGUCAGAUUCCCAGGCCUGCUUUCUGCCUGCAGCUCCUGGACACGUACAUAGUUAAUUUGACAUUCUAGUGCAGUGGUUGCUG